AAUGAACGUUGGCGGCGUGCUUAACACAUGCAAGUCGAGCGAGAAAAUCCCUUCGGGGAUGAGUAAAGCGGCGGACGGGUGAGUAAUACAUAAGAAUCUACCCCUUAGUGGAGAAUACCUUUGAGAAAUCAAAGUUAAUACUACAUAAGUCCUAGCUGAAAAAGCUAGGAGAAAGAUGGCCUCUUUGCUAUCGCUGAAGGAUGAGCUUAUGUCCUAUUAGUUUGUUGGUGAGGUAAAAGCUCACCAAGACGAUGAUGGGUAGCCGGCCUGAGAGAGUGUACGGCCACACUGGAACUGAGACACGGUCCAG
rnacentral:rRNA from 1 species